UACAGAGGGUGCAAGCGUUAUCCGGAUUUAUUGGGCGUAAAGCGUUUCGUAGGCGGUUUAGUGAGUUAUUUUUCAAAGACCACGGCUUAACCGGGGGAAGGGAGGUAAUACUGCUAGACUUGAUUUUUGGUGGGGCUUCUGGAACUGAUGGUGUAGUAGUGAAAUACGUUGAUAUCAUCAGGAACUCCAAGGGCGUAGGCAGGAAGCUAACCAACUAAUGACGCUGAUGAACGAAAGCUAGGGGAGCGAAAGGG
rnacentral:rRNA from 1 species